GGGGUUGUAGCUCAGUGGUAGAGCUUUUGCCUUAGCAUUGUGAGGCACUGAGUUCAAUUCUCAGCACCUUA
rnacentral:tRNA from 1 species